rnacentral:rRNA from 1 species
ACUACGGGUGGCAGCAGUCGAGAAUCAUUCACAAUGGGGGAAACCCUGAUGGUGCGACGCCGCGUGGGGGAAUGAAGGUCUUCGGAUUGUAAACCCCUGUCAUGUGGGAGCAAAUUAAAAAGAUAGUACCACAAGAGGAAGAGACGGAUAACUCUGUGACAGCAGCCGCGGUAAUACAGAGGUCUCAAUCGUUGUUCGGAAUCACUGGGCGUAAAGCGUGCGGAGGCUGUUUCGUAAGUCGUGUGUGAAAGGCGCGGGCUCAACGCGCGGACGGCACAUGAUACUGCGAGACUAGAGGGAUGGAGAGGGAACCGGAAUGCUCGGUGUAGCAGGGAAAUGCGUAGAUAUC